rnacentral:rRNA from 1 species
CACGGAGGGUGCAAACGUUGCUCGGAAUUAUUGGGCGUAAAGCGCACGUAGGCGGUUUGUUAAGUCGGGUGUGAAAGCCCCGGGCUCAACCCGGGAAGUGCAUUCGAAACUGGCAAGCUUGAAUAUGGAAGAGGGUCGCGGAAUUCCCGGUGUAGAGGUGAAAUUCGUAGAUAUUGGGAGGAACACCGGUGGCGAAAGCGGCUCCCUGGUCCGAUACUGACGCUCAUGUGCGAAAGCGUGGGGAGCAAACAGG